GAGGGUGUAACUCAGUGGUAGAGUGUGUGUUUAGCAUGCACAAGGUCUGGGGUUCAAUCCCCAGUACCUCCA
rnacentral:tRNA from 1 species